rnacentral:rRNA from 1 species
AUGUAUAGCAAUAGCUGAUUGCACCAACAAAUGGUUGAUGCAAUAUUGACUCUGUCAAAUAAAAUUCUAGGUAGAAUUAUGAUAAUGACAUUGUCUGCCUAUAUGUCUUGACCAAAUUACGUGCCAGCAGUCGCGGUAAUACGUAGAAGACUAGUGUUAUUCAUCUUUAAUAGGUUUAAAGGGUACCUAGACGGUAAAUCAAGCCUUCACAGGGACUAAUUUACUAGAGUUACUUACGAGGGGGUAUUAAAGUACUGCAGGUGUAGAGAUGAAAUUCUGUCAUACCUCUUUUCAAAAGAAAAAUUAUGGCACAGGUAUAGGUGAAAGCAUCCCCUUAUGUGAUAACUGACGUUGAAGGACGAAGGCUUUGUGUCGCGAACAGGAUUAGAUACCCCAGUAGUCAAAGCAGAAAAUGAUGAAUGUCAUAGAUUAGAUAUAUAGUUUAUUCUAUAAAUGAAAAUGUAAGCAUUCCACCUCAAGAGUAAUUUGGCAACAUUGGAACUGAAAUCAUUAGACCGUUUCUGAAACCAGUAGUGAAGUAUGUUGUUUAAUUUGAUGAUCCGCAAAAAACCUUACCACAAUUUGAAUAUUUGUAUCUAUCUUUUUGUACGUAAAAAAAUAAAAAGGUAAUAUAUUUACAAGCGUUGCACGGCUGUCUUCAGUUAAUGUCGCGAGACUUUGGUUAGUUCCAUUUAAUUAACGUAAACCCUUACUUUAUUUUUAUAUGAAGUAGUUCCCCGCUAUAUUGGAUAUGAUAACAGGGACUAGGACAAGUCAUCAUGGCCUUAAUAUUG